rnacentral:rRNA from 1 species
AGAGUUUGAUCCUGGCUCAGGAUGAACGCUAGCGGCAGGCUUAACACAUGCAAGUCGAGGGGUAACAGGGAUUGCUUGCAAUCCGCUGACGACCGGCGCACGGGUGCGUAACGCGUAUGCAACCUACCUUCUACAGGGGGAUAGUCAAUAGAAAUGUUGAAUAAUACCCCAUACGAUCAUUAAUCUGCAUGGAUUGAUGAAGAAAGUUCCGGCGGUAGAAGAUGGGCAUGCGUCCUAUUAGUUAGUUGGUAAGGUAACGGCUUACCAAGACAUCGAUAGGUAGGGGUCCUGAGAGGGAGAUCCCCCACACUGGUACUGAGACACGGACCAGACUCCUACGGGAGGCAGCAGUGAGGAAUAUUGGACAAUGGAGGCAACUCUGAUCCAGCCAUGCCGCGUGCAGGAAGACUGCCCUAUGGGUUGUAAACUGCUUUUAUACAGGAAGAAUAGUACCUACGUGUAGGUAUUUGACGGUACUGUACGAAUAAGGAUCGGCUAACUCCGUGCCAGCAGCCGCGGUAAUACGGAGGAUCCAAGCGUUAUCCGGAAUCAUUGGGUUUAAAGGGUCCGUAGGCGGUCUGAUAAGUCAGAGGUGAAAUCCUGCAGCUCAACUGUAGCAUUGCCUUUGAUACUGUUAGACUUGAGUUAUUGUGAAGUAGUUAGAAUGUGUGGUGUAGCGGUGAAAUGCAUAGAUAUCACACAGAAUACCGAUUGCGAAGGCAGAUUACUAACAAUAUACUGACGCUGAGGGACGAAAGCGUGGGUAGCGAACAGGAUUAGAUACCCUGGUAGUCCACGCCGUAAACGAUGGAUACUAGCU